rnacentral:rRNA from 1 species
CAAUAGCGUAUAUUAAAGUUGUUGCGGUAAAAAAGCUCGUAGUUGGAUUUCUGUUGAGGAUGACCGGUCCGCACCACGUGCUGGUAUCUGGUUCAGCCUCGGCAUCCUCUCGAUGGACGUUUCUGCGCUUGAUUGCGUGGAGCGGAUCUCGAGACUUUUACUUUGAGGAAAUUAGAGUGUUCACGGCAGGCUAUCGCCAGGAUACAUUAGCAUGGAAUAAUACUAUAGGAUCUCGGUUCUAUUUUGUUGGUUUCUAGAAUUGAGAUAAUGAUUAAUAGGGACAAUUGGGGGCAUUCGUAUCAACACGUCAGAGGUGGAAUUCUUGGAUUGUGUUGCGACGAACUACUGCGAAAGCAUUUGCCAAGGAUGUUUUCAUUGA